rnacentral:rRNA from 1 species
UACGAAGGGGGCUAGCGUUGCUCGGAAUCACUGGGCGUAAAGCGCACGUAGGCGGAUUGCUAAGUCAGGGGUGAAAUCCUGGAGCUCAACUCCAGAACUGCCUUUGAUACUGAAGAUCUCGAGUCCGGGAGAGGUGAGUGGAACUGCGAGUGUAGAGGUGAAAUUCGUAGAUAUUCGCAAGAACACCAGUGGCGAAGGCGGCUCACUGGCCCGAUACUGACGCUGAGGCACGAAAGCGUGGGGAGCAAACAGG